AGAGUUUGAUCCUGGCUCAGGGCGAACGCUGGCGGCAGGCCUAACACAUGCAAGUCGAACGGAUCCUUCGGGAUUAGUGGCGGACGGGUGAGUAACACGUGGGAACGUGCCCUUUGGUUCGGAACAACUCAGGGAAACUUGAGCUAAUACCGGAUGUGCCCUUCGGGGGAAAGAUUUAUCGCCAUUGGAGCGGCCCGCGUCUGAUUAGCUAGUUGGUGGGGUAAAGGCCCACCAAGGCGACGAUCAGUAGCUGGUCUGAGAGGAUGAUCAGCCACAUUGGGACUGAGACACGGCCCAAACUCCUACGGGAGGCAGCAGUGGGGAAUCUUGCGCAAUGGGCGAAAGCCUGACGCAGCCAUGCCGCGUGAAUGAUGAAGGUCUUAGGAUUGUAAAAUUCAUUCACCGGGGACGAUAAUGACGGUACCCGGAGAAGAAGCCCCGGCUAACUUCGUGCCAGCAGCCGCGGUAAUACGAAGGGGGCUAGCGUUGCUCGGAAUUACUGGGCGUAAAGGGAGCGUAGGCGGACUGUUAAGUUAGAGGUGAAAGCCCAGGGCUCAACCUUGGAAUUGCCUUUGAUACUGGCAGUCUUGAGUACGGAAGAGGUAUGUGGAACUCCGAGUGUAGAGGUGAAAUUCGUAGAUAUUCGGAAGGACACCAGUGGCGAAGGCGACAUACUGGUCCGUUACUGACGCUGAGGCUCGAAAGCGUGGGGAGCAAACAGGAUUAGAUACCCUGGUAGUCCACGCCGUAAACGAUGAGUGCUAGUUGUCGGCAUGCAUGCAUGUCGGUGACGCAGCUAGCGCAUUAAG
rnacentral:rRNA from 1 species